rnacentral:rRNA from 1 species
CGGGGUGCAGCAGGCGCGAAAACUUUACAAUGCCGGCAACGGCGAUAAGGGAACCUCGAGUGCCAGGUUACAAAUCUGGCUGUCGUGAUGCCUAAAAAGCAUUGCAUAGCAAGGGCCGGGCAAGACCGGUGCCAGCCGCCGCGGUAACACCGGCGGCUCGAGUGGUAACCGUUAUUAUUGGGUCCAAAGGGUCUGUAGCCGGCCGGGUAAGUCUCUUGGGAAAUCUGGCAGCUUAACUGUCAGGCUUUCAGGAGAUACUGCCUGGCUCGAGGCCGGGAGAGGUGAGAGGUACUUCAGGGGUAGGGGUGAAAUCUUGUAAUCCUUGAAGGACCACCAGUGGCGAAGGCGUCUCACCAGAACGGACCUGACGGCAAGGGACGAAAGCUAGGGGCACGAACCGGAUUAGAUACCCGGGUAGUCCUAGCCGUAAACGAUACUCGCUAGGUGUCGGCCACGGUGCGACCGUGGUCGGUGCCGUAGGGAAGCCGUGAAGCGAGCCACCUGGGAAGUACGGCCGCAAGGCUGAAACUUAAAGGAAUUGGCGGGGGAGCACAAGGGCGAAUCGCGGC